GUUAUGGCUGCGAUUAAACACCUGUUCAGCGUCACACCUUCCCACGGCGUCUCGAUCUGUGUCAGAUUCUGGAUGGACAGAGCUUUGCGUAACGUCGCUGCUGGACAGAUGAUAAAACACAGGCAAUUUGGGCAACAUACUGGCACUGGAGACCGGAUGUUCCCGUGGAAUCAUCUUCGGGACCUGCUGGACAAUUGGAGCUUCCUGUAGGACACAGAAGGUUUAUUAAUGGAACGGUUUCUGAGGAGGAGCUUCUUGCAGUGGUUUACCAAGUUCUUCUUCAAAUGUCUCAAAGGUGCUUUCGUCCAUAGCUCACCUGAGAAACAAGGUGAAAUCUGAAAGCUAGUGGCCACAUAAAUCUCUAAAGAAAUCCAGAUGUGUGCUGAAACUUCUCAAACAGCGGAGAGUCAGAAGCACAUCCAGCCACUGGACGUCACCUUUGACCCCAGUAACACUGUGCCUUACCUGCAUGGAGGUGAGCAGGAGACCCGAGGAGGAGCAGACGGAGAGGACGGCAGUGUGAGAGCACUUGAGCGUGUGAAGUGACAAUUUUGGAGGGAAUGCAGCAGCGCAAACAUCACUGUAAGAGAAACAGAAAGUGAUUGCUGAAAUAUAACAGGACAGGAUCUAAAUACCAAAGCCAGGUCUUCCCAGUGGCAAGAGUUGCAUCAUGACAGACAUCUAAAGCGGCGAAUGAAGUGUCUUUCUCUCCUUCAUGGCUGAUUUCAUUGCGAUUAGGAGAUCUAUUUCAGGGUGAGGCGCAGACGCAGCGGGGUUUCGACUGCUCUCAUGUGCACCUGAGCGAUCAUCAGUAAUAGUGUCUCUGCUAACAGUGACCUGAAGCCCAAACAAAUGAUCUUGAGUCUUAAAAGUGCUUGAGGCCUUUCUGAGCCGCUGCCAGUGUUUAGUGGAGGGACACAAGCUGAGCGCUCAAUAAACCAGAUCUCGUCCCAGGACACAAGACUGCGCAGAUGGGCUGCAAAGCGCCUUGAUCUUUGGCAAGGGCAAGGAGCCGGAUUGGAGCAGAGGAUCUCAUUUCCUGCAUCUGUGAGCUCAGAUUAGAUCAGAUCUGCAGACACUUUGAGACAUCAGAUGCACCGUUUACAACCAUAAAAUGGUUAAAACUCCAACAGAUGCACAUUAAAGGAGGAACCUCUACAGUCCCAUCUACAGACCAGAAGAUCACAGAGAUACGAUAAAUCACCCAGAAUGCCCUAGCAUCAUGCUGGUGAAACAGAAGUUAUAUGAGCGCUGCUGGUCACAGAAUAUUAGAUCCAGUAAGGCCGGGAUGGAAACCUCUCAGUGAGCCAAUUGUCUUGUGUGAGGAUGUUCAGCUAAGUUCAGCCUUGAAGACAGGAAGUCUCUGUUCUUCAGAUGAAAAAUUCGUCUGUAAACACACUCGAGCAUCUGUAAGACACUCCAUCCCUAUAAAACACAACAGAUCCACCACAUCUGAGCUGUUAUUGCCUGUCAUCACCCGAUGCUUUUCCUUCUGUCUUUCUGUUAUCUCUCCAUCUCUGGCUCCCGUCGGGGCACUGUUGUGUCCUCUGGGUCUGUAAUCGAUAGCUCAUUUCACACCACACAGUCAGUCCCUCUGUAUUGAUAAGCUCACCAAUUGAAUCCGUCUCCACCAGCUGUCAGUCAGACGGGAGUCUGUAGGAGCGGAGUGAGAUGACAGAUGCGCUUGAGAAGCGUGCAGGAGUGUUUCUAAAUGUCACUUUAAUGUUUUUUUUUGCUCAAAGUGUCCUUGAGUUUGUUUUCAUGGCUUUGAGCUGCAGAUGCGUCAUGUUUAGAUCAUGCCAUUCUAAGUAUUUUACACUACUGUUCUAGAGUUUUUAAUAAUUUUAUUAAUGAAGGGGAUGCAUUAAAUUGAUCAAAAGUGACAGUAAAGACAUUUAUAAUGUUACAGAAGAUUGCUUU